rnacentral:rRNA from 1 species
AGCGAACGCUGGCGGCAGGCUUAAUACAUGCAAGUCGAGCGCCUGUAGCAAUACAGGAGCGGCAGACGGGUGAGUAACGCGUGGGAACGUGCCCUUUGGUUCGGAACAACACAGGGAAACUUGUGCUAAUACCGGAUAAGCCCUUACGGGGAAAGAUUUAUCGCCGAAGGAUCGGCCCGCGUCUGAUUAGCUAGUUGGUGAGGUAAUGGCUCACCAAGGCGACGAUCAGUAGCUGGUCUGAGAGGAUGAUCAGCCACACUGGGACUGAGACACGGCC